rnacentral:rRNA from 1 species
UACGUAGGGUGCGAGCGUUGUCCGGAAUUAUUGGGCGUAAAGAGCUCGUAGGCGGUGUGUCGCGUCGGCCGUGAAAACCUGCAGCUUAACUGUGGGCUUGCGGUCGAUACGGGCAUCACUGGAGUUCGGCAGGGGAGACUGGAAUUCCUGGUGUAGCGGUGAAAUGCGCAGAUAUCAGGAGGAACACCGGUGGCGAAGGCGGGUCUCUGGGCCGAUACUGACGCUGGAGGUGCGAAAGCGUGGGGAGCAAACAGG